ensembl:lncRNA
CUGACCCAACAGCCCUCUCCUGACGCAGCCUCUCAUUGUCUGCUUUCAGCUGCACGAUCAAGUCCCUGAGUUCCUGUAACUCUUCCUCCAUCUCUGUAACACAGCUGUGGAAUCCCACACCAAAGUAGCUGCUGCUUUGCUUUUAUCCUGUACAAACAGUGGAGGGCAGGGAUGCCACACACAAACUCAAAAAAAGAAGAAAAUACACCAAGACACAAGUGCAGCACACUAUCACACACUCACACUAUAAAUUAAACAAGGCAGGUGUGUACACUCAGAGGAUCCCACCACCAAGGCACCCUGGUCUCCUCCACGUCGGCACUCCGCAUCUGAAUAAAAGAAACAAAGAAAAUUUAAUAUAUUACAACAAAACUAAUAUGCAGCGCUGGGGGAUAACCCAACUGCAGGACCACACUGGUGAUCUACAGCUAGAAAAAGGGCCUCCCACCAGUGGCGUAACAAAAAUCCAAACUACAAAUCAAACAACAGUAAAACAACAUACAAUCUGGGUAAAACUCUAAAAUAUGGAGCAAACGGAAUCGCCGUAUUGCUCCAACUUGCCGUCUGCACGGCUAUAAGUUAAUUAUCCAGUCAGUCAAUCAGUAUGCGCGCCAGCCGACCCGCGUGGCAUGCAUAUGGCCGUUGUUCACGCCGACGUCCACUUUAAAGGCUGGCAGCAGCAAAGAAACUUCGCAGCCGGAACAGACAGUAAAAAUAAAGUAAAACAAAGCAAAGCAUCACAGCAAAGCAAAGCAAAGCAGCAGCACUUCAGUUCACGUAGCUUGGCGCAAAACUCAGGCCCACACUUCCUGCAAAGCAUAAUAAAUAAUUACUAUAAAAGAACAACAGAAGGCAGAGAGCGUAACAGAAGUUGAUUACAUACCAAGUAAGCCGUGUCAUAAAACGUAAGCAGAAUGGCUCAGAGGAGGCUUCUACAGCUACGACCUACAAACAAUAGCUGUUUACCAUCAAGCAAAGUAAUAUAUACACUACAAUGAGUAAACACCUACCAGCUGCGAUGGAGGCUUCGGAAAAGUAACCCGCAACUAAGC